GGCCAAGUUUUUAAGGGCACACGGUGGAUGCCUUGGCACCAGGAACCGAAGAAGGACGUAGGAAUCUGCGAUAAGCCUCGGGUAGUCGAUAACCAGACUGUGAUCCGAGGAUUUCCGAAUGGGGAAACCCGGCUGGAGGCAAGUCCAGUCACCCGCACCUGAAUAUAUAGGGUGUGUGGAGGGAACGUGGGGAAGUGAAACAUCUCAGUACCCACAGGAAGAGAAAACAACAGUGAUUCCGUGAGUAGUGGCGAGCGAAAGCGGAUGAGGCUAAACCGGGCGUGUGUGAUAGCUGUCAGGCGUUGCACGUUCGGGGUCGUGGGACCCGCCAACNNNNNNNNNNNNNNNNNNUUUCCCAAGUAGCACGGGGCCCGAGAAAUCCCGUGUGAAUCUGGCAGGACCACCUGCUAAGCCUAAAUAUUCCCUGGUGACCGAUAGCGGACAAGUACCGUGAGGGAAAGGUGAAAAGUACCCCGGGAGGGGAGUGAAAUAGAUCCUGAAACCGUGUGCCUACAAUCCGUUGGAGCCUCCCGCCGUUGGGCGUGUGGGGUGACAGCGUGCCUUUUGAAGAAUGAGCCUGCGAGUUAGUGCUCAGUGGCGAGGUUAACCCGUGUGGGGAAGCCGUAGCGAAAGCGAGUCCGAACAGGGCGAAUGAGUCGCUGGGUCUAGACCCGAAGCGGAGUGAUCUACCCAUGGCCAGGUUGAAGCGCAGGUAAGACUGCGUGGAGGACCGAACCCACUUAGGUUGAAAACUGAGGGGAUGAGCUGUGGGUAGGGGUGAAAGGCCAAUCAAACUCCGUGAUAGCUGGUUCUCCCCGAAAUGCAUUUAGGUGCAGCGUCACGUGUUUCUUGCCGGAGGUAGAGCUACUGGAUAGCCGAUGGGCCUCACCAGGUUACUGACGUUAGCCAAACUCCGAAUGCCGGUAAGUGAGAGCGUGGCAGUGAGACUGCGGGGGAUAAGCUCCGUAGUCGAGAGGGAAACAGCCCAGAUCACCAGCUAAGGUCCCUAAGCGUGUGCUAAGUGGGAAAGGAUGUGGAGUUGCUGUGACAACCAGGAGGUUGGCUUAGAAGCAGCCACCCUUUAAAGAGUGCGUAAUAGCUCACUGGUCAAGUGAUUCCGCGCCGACAAUGUAGCGGGGCUCAAGCACACCACCGAAGCUGUGGCAUUGACAUAUUUGCUCGGCACCGACACCUGCGGGUUCGGUGUCCAGGCGUGUUGAUGGGUAGGGGAGCGUCGUGUGGCCAGGGAAGCGGCGGUGUGAACCAGCCGUGGAGGCCACACGAGUGAGAAUGCAGGCAUGAGUAGCGAAUGACGGGCGAGAAACCCGUCCGCCGAAUAACCAAGGGUUCCAGGGUCAAGCUAAUCUGCCCUGGGUAAGUCGGGACCUAAGGCGAGGCCGACAGGCGUAGUCGAUGGACAUCCGGUUGAUAUUCCGGAACCGGCGAAGAACCGCCCAUGAUGAACCCAGUGAUGCUAAGUGCCUGAAACCGGUUCACCGGGACUUCGGUCCCAUCGAGCCGGUGGAGCGCACGACCCGAUCUGGUAGUAGUCAAGCGAUGGAGUGACGCAGGAAGGUAGCCUCCGCGUGGCGAUGGUUGUCCACGUCCAAGGGUGUAGGGCGCGAUCCAGGCAAAUCCGGAUCGCAUUAAAGCCUGAGACCUGAUAGUGACCGCGAAUGCGGGAAGAGGGUGAUCCUAUGCUGCCGAGAAAAACUUCUAGCGAGGUUCGAGCCGCCCGUACCCCAAACCGACUCAGGUGGUUAGGUAGAGAAUACCAAGGCGAUCGAGUGAAUCGUGGUUAAGGAAUUCGGCAAAAUACCCCCGUAACUUCGGGAGAAGGGGGGCCCUGAUCGUGACGACACUUGCUGUCCGAGCGUGAUCGGCCGCAGAGACCAGGGAGAAGCGACUGUUUACUAAAAACACAGGUCCGUGCCAAGUCGCAAGACGAUGUAUACGGACUGACGCCUGCCCGGUGCUGGAACGUUAAGGGGACCGGUUAGCCGCAAGGCGAAGCUGAGAACUUAAGCGCCAGUAAACGGCGGUGGUAACUAUAACCAUCCUAAGGUAGCGAAAUUCCUUGUCGGGUAAGUUCCGACCUGCACGAAUGGCGUAACGACUUCUCCACUGUCUCAACCACGAACUCGGCGAAAUUGCACUACGAGUAAAGAUGCUCGUUACGCGCAGCAGGACGGAAAGACCCCGGGACCUUUACUACAGCUUGGUAUUGGUGUUCGGUACGGCUUGUGUAGGAUAGGUGGGAGACUGUGAAGCCGUCACGUCAGUGAUGGUGGAGUCAACGUUGAAAUACCACUCUGGUCGUUCUGGAUAUCUAACCUCGGUCCGUGAGCCGGAUCAGGGACAGUGCCUGGUGGGUAGUUUAACUGGGGCGGUUGCCUCCUAAAAGGUAACGGAGGCGCCCAAAGGUUCCCUCAGCCUGGUUGGCAAUCAGGUUUCGAGUGUAAGUGCACAAGGGAGCUUGACUGUGAGACAGACAUGUCGAGCAGGGACGAAAGUCGGGACUAGUGAUCCGGCGGUGGCUUGUGGAAGCGCCGUCGCUCAACGGAUAAAAGGUACCCCGGGGAUAACAGGCUGAUCUUGCCCAAGAGUCCAUAUCGACGGCAUGGUUUGGCACCUCGAUGUCGGCUCGUCGCAUCCUGGGGCUGGAGUAGGUCCCAAGGGUUGGGCUGUUCGCCCAUUAAAGCGGUACGCGAGCUGGGUUUAGAACGUCGUGAGACAGUUCGGUCCCUAUCCGCUGUGCGCGUAGGAAACUUGAGAAAGGCUGUCCCUAGUACGAGAGGACCGGGAUGGACGAACCUCUGGUGUGUCAGUUGUCCUGCCAAGGGCACCGCUGAUUAGCUACGUUCGGAAGUGAUAACCGCUGAAAGCAUCUAAGCGGGAAGCACGUUUCAAGAUGAGGUUUCCAGGCCCGCGAGGGCGAGAGGCUCCCAGCUAGACGACUGGGUUGAUAGGCCGGAUGUGGAAGCACAGCAAUGUGUGGAGCUGACCGGUACUAAUAAGCCGAUAACUUGACUCA
rnacentral:rRNA from 1 species